GAUGAACGCUGGCGGCGUGCCUAAUACAUGCAAGUCGAGCGAAUGGAUUGAGAGCUUGCUCUCAAGAAGUUAGCGGCGGACGGGUGAGUAACACGUGGGUAACCUGCCCAUAAGACUGGGAUAACUCCGGGAAACCGGGGCUAAUACCGGAUAACAUUUUGAACUGCAUGGUUCGAAAUUGAAAGGCGGCUUCGGCUGUCACUUAUGGAUGGACCCGCGUCGCAUUAGCUAGUUGGGGGGGUAACGGCUCACCAAGGCAACGAUGCGUAGCCGAACUGGGAGGGCGAUCGGCCACAGUGGGACUGCGACACGGCCCAGACUCCUACGGGAUGCAGCAGUAGGGAAUCUUCCGCAAUGGACGAAAGCCUGACGGAGCAACGCCGCGUGAGUGAUGAAGGCUUUCGGGUCGUAAAACUCUGUUGUUAGGGAAGAACAAGUGCUAGUUGAAUAAGCUGGCACCUUGACGGUACCUAACCAGAAAGCCACGGCUAACUACGUGCCAGCCGCCGCGGUAA
rnacentral:rRNA from 1 species